rnacentral:rRNA from 1 species
GACGAACGCUGGCGGCGUGCUUAACACGUGCAAGUCGAACGGAAAGGCCCUGCUUUUGUGGGGUGCUCGAGUGGCGAACGGGUGAGUAACACGUGAGUAACCUGCCCUUGACUUUGGGAUAACUUCAGGAAACUGGGGCUAAUACCGGAUAGGAGCUCCUGCUGCAUGGUGGGGGUUGGAAAGUUUCGGCGGUUGGGGAUGGACUCGCGGCUUAUCAGCUUGUUGGUGGGGUAGUGGCUUACCAAGGCUUUGACGGGUAGCCGGCCUGAGAGGGUGACCGGCCACAUUGGGACUGAGAUACGGCCCAGACUCCUACGGGAGGCAGCAGUGGGGAAUAUUGCACAAUGGGCGGAAGCCUGAUGCAGCAACGCCGCGUGCGGGGUGACGGCCUUCGGGUUGUAAACCGCUUUCGCCUGUGACGAAGCGUGAGUGACGGUAAUGGGUAAAGAAGCACCGGCUAACUACGUG